CCUACGGGAGGCAGCAGUGAGGAAUAUUGGUCAAUGGACGAGAGUCUGAACCAGCCAAGUAGCGUGAAGGAUGACUGCCCUAUGGGUUGUAAACUUCUUUUAUAUGGGAAUAAAAUGUUCCACGUGUGGGAUUUUGUAUGUACCAUAUGAAUAAGGAUCGGCUAACUCCGUGCCAGCAGCCGCGGUAAUACGGAGGAUCCGAGCGUUAUCCGGAUUUAUUGGGUUUAAAGGGAGCGUAGGUGGAUUGUUAAGUCAGUUGUGAAAGUUUGCGGCUCAACCGUAAAAUUGCAGUUGAAACUGGCAGUCUUGAGUACAGUAGAGGUGGGCGGAAUUCGUGGUGUAGCGGUGAAAUGCUUAGAUAUCACGAAGAACUCCGAUUGCGAAGGCAGUUCACUGGACUGCAACUGACACUGAGGCUCGAAAGUGUGGGUAUCAAACAGGAUUAGAUACCCCUGUAGUG
rnacentral:rRNA from 1 species